UGGGGAAUAUUGGACAAUGGGCGCAAGCCUGAUCCAGCCAUGCCGCGUGAGUGAUGAAGGCCCUAGGGUUGUAAAGCUCUUUCACCGGUGAAGAUAAUGACGGUAACCGGAGAAGAAGCCCCGGCUAACUUCGUGCCAGCAGCCGCGGUAAUACGAAGGGGGCUAGCGUUGUUCGGAUUUACUGGGCGUAAAGCGCACGUAGGUGGACUAUUAAGUCAGGGGUGAAAUCCCGGGGCUCAACCCCGGAACUGCCUUUGAUACUGGUAGUCUUGAGUUCGAGAGAGGUGAGUGGAAUUCCGGGUGUAGAGGUGAAAUUCGUAGAUAUUCGGAGGAACACCAGUGGCGAAGGCGGCUCACUGGAUCGAUACUGACGCUGAGGUGCGAAAGCGUGGGGAGCAAACAGG
rnacentral:rRNA from 1 species